rnacentral:lncRNA from 1 species
UGCCUUGUAGCGAUAGUGAUACUGACCCGUAUACGCCGUGGUAGUACCAUUUCAACACCUGUAAAAAAAUAAAAAUAAUAAUAGCGUCUGUAAGUGUGUUAAUGCAAUAUAUGUUCUGUGAUGUUCAGUUCAACAUGGGCUAAUUCUCUGUUAAGUUCAUGUAAUUACGUGUGAUCUUUCAAUGCUCAGCAGCAACAUACUAUGUGAAAAUUCUAUAUGUGUUU